CUUGUUAUUGGAUCUUGGGCUGAGGACUGUUCCACCUGUGUGAAGAUGCUCCAUGUAGUUGAAUUUGUCACCAAUAAAACCGUAGCAGUGGUGCCCCAAAGUUGGUACGAGGAUGGUUGUGCAUCGUGGCCAACUUAUAACAGUGACAAAAGAAUAAUUAGGGCAAUAAAACAUGGAGAGGAGCCACAGGAUGACUUGCAGACACAUGAUGUCAGAAUCAUCAAAUCAUCUGGUAUGCCAAAUCUCAAAGUUGUUUCUUGGCAAAGUGGUUUUUACAAAUCCUACACCUACAAAUCCACUGCCAUCACUGUUUAAAAGAAUAUGCCACCGUUUUAUGAAAUUGGGUUAUUCACUGUCUCCCCUUGAGUAAGAUAAGUGAGCAAAAACUUUUGUCACCUGCCGGACUAAGACAAUGCAUGCACGGAGACAAAAAUGUUUUUGCGCACUUAUCUAACUGUAGGGGAGGCUGUGAAUAAUUAAUUUCAUAAAAUGGUGGCAAGUUCCUUUAAGACUCAUGUCAAGCUCCAUGUUUACCUUUCAGAUUCUUACAUUGAGGCACAUCAAUUCCUGAAGAAGGCUCUGACAAGUAGCACCUUGGACCUCCAAACUGAGUAUGAACAGGAACGGCCUGGGAGAAGGAGAACAUCAGCGAAGUCAGUGUUUUUCCUUCAUGUUACACAUACAAACACUAACACCAUAUACUUUUAUUAAAAAGACAGAACAGAGAUCAAUGUCUGCUUUAAAUGUUGAUUUGCAUGUAGAUAAAGAUCUUUUUUUAUUUUAUUUAAACAGACAUUUCUUUGGUGACACUGAUAUAGAGGAGGACUACCGACCCCCAAAGAGGUCCAAAUCCGGGUCUUCUGCUGGGACAAGUCACCAACUCCCUGCAAAUAGUCCAGAGAUCUGUCAAAAUUGACACCAAUAUAACACCCAACAACAACACAGUGUUUGGCAGAACUGCCCCUCCCCAACCACAAACACUCCUCUCUCAACCUGCGCAAUGCAACCAGCAACAACGGGGGCCAGAGGAGCCAAGCCAGGUCUACAGACCUACCUGGAGAGGUGGGAGACAUGGCCCAGAAACCAUUCCCUGCUCUGGUAAGAAAUAACUGUAACUACAAGCUAUAAUACCUUGGCUUUAACCACGGGGGACAGGGGGGGGACUUAAGUGCGUGGAAUGGAGGGGGAAUAACUAUUCUAUAAUACUAUGUAUUCAACAGCUGCUCAGGUCCACAUUUUAAGCCUGCUGGAGCACAUUAAGCAGCAGGAGGACCAGCUGGUGGCCAAGGUCAAUCACCUGAGCAGCAGGGUGCUCAACACCUCAAGAGCCAGAGUGUCCUGAAUGCAUUCAGCUGCCCAUCGAAUCACUGGAAGCGGUGGAUGAGCUUGAAGCAUUCCUGAAAGACGCUGCCAAUGCAGCAGCCAAACAAAGAAUGGUAUGCUCCUGCCAGUCACUCAACUCUAAUUGGUAAAGUGCUGGGGUGGUGGGUGUGUGGUGUGGGGUGGGGCAAAGAUUGUCGUACAAGUUAUUACAUCAGGGCUUUAUACCUUGUCUGUAUUUUAAGGUGUUUUGUGACUUACUUUUAGAUUUCUUAUUUGGCCACGAUUGGUGGCCAAGAUGUGAAGAGAGUGGUGUGGAACAUUCUCUCUCGGAUGUUCACUGAAGAAGUGGCCAAGACCAUAAGCUGGAAGGGGGCAAACGGCAAGAGGGCAUUCGGUGACAUGUCGUCAAAGACACUGCUGUACCGUAAGUCAUUUUAAGUAGUGUAACGGCUUUAAGGAAAGUGUAACGGCUCCCACACACAGCUGCAUGCAGUGCAAUGCUGGGGUCGGCUGUAAACGGUGUUGCCAGAUUGGGUUGAGUGAUUUACGCCCAAUCAUGAUCGAAAACCCACCCCCUUCAGCAGAAAAUCCGCCCCAACAACGAUACUGUCACAGAUAAACAAUUUAACAAUUUAUAAACAAGCCGGUGUUACAAUAAAGUCGGUUCCUGGAAUAUCUGAUUCCAAUGGGUGGAGCUAAUAAUGAAUAUUCAUGACACCAUAGCGUGCGCGGGGCGACACAUUUUUAUUAACUCACAAAUGCAACCAAAACAUAUAAAAAGAACAUUUAUCUGAAAAUUGUACAUUCUGUACUUCAGUAUGGACAUUCGCAACAAAAAAUUGGCCUACACAUUUUUUAAAAUAAAGAAAAUAAACAAUUGGAAAAACAAUUCUGGCUGCUACUAUGGGCUCAGUGCUAUAAAUCUUUUUUACAGAUAACCAAAUUACAAGCAAUAGCAGAAAAUAACUACAAUACAACAAACACACAAGUUCAAUAAACAGUGCUUUUCAGGGUUUUCAGCUCUCGGUUUUUCAGGUACGCUACAGAAAUGUAAUAGGCUAAUCAAAUGUAAAAUAACUGCACAGUCUUCACUCUAUGAAUUAAAUAUAGAUUAAUCAUUUCUGAUGUUAUAACGGUUAUUUAGUCAGGAACAGUGAUCACUUGUAUUUUUCUUUGACAGCAUUAGAUUUAUUAUUAAUUUGCUUUCAUUUUAAGAAUGAAGCACGGAUUUAAUAUACUGAUACCCACUCCUUUUUACAUUAAGACAUAUGCCAUACAACGACUGUGUUUACUAGGAUAUUCGUCAAAAGGCGCAUUUUGAUUUAAUUUUGUCUAUUUAUUCAUUCAUGCACAAAAAAGCGGAAGAGAGCUCGAUUAAGUAUUCACGCGGUCUAGACACAGCUGUCUGUGUGCGUGCGCGCGCGCUUCAGAUGUGUGCGCUGAAAACUUCUCACACAGCGCUUGACUGUUCCACUAACAAUCCCGAGCAUCUUUUGUACUUCACCUUGUGCCUUCGGGCAAGGGCAGUCCUUAUAUCAAGUCCUGAUAUGCAAGUUUGAACGAGAAUGCACGCGUUGGCAGUAAUGCAUAGACAGU
ensembl:lncRNA